rnacentral:rRNA from 1 species
AUUGAACGCUAGCGGGAUGCCUUACACAUGCAAGUCGAACGGAGUGGCGAACGGGGGAGUAAUGUAUCGGAACGUGCCCAGUAGCGGGGGAUAACUACGCGAAAGCGUAGCUAAUACCGCAUACUAUUGGAGCGGCCGAUAUCGGAUUGGCUAGGUGGUGGGGUAACGGCUCACCAAGGCGACGAUCCGUAGCUGGUUUGAGAGGACGACCAGCCACACGGGGACUGAGACACGGCCCAGAAUCCGACGUGAGGCAGCAGUGGGGAAUUUUGGGCAAGUGGGGAAACGCUGAACCAGCCAUCCCGCGUGGGCGUUGAAGGCCUUCGGGUUGUAAAGCACUUUUGGCAUGAAAGCGGUACCUGCAGAAUAAGCACCGGCUAACUACGUGCCAGCAGCCGCGGUAAUAC